CAGUAGCUCAGUUGGAUAGAGCAACAGCCUUCUAAGCUGUGGGUCGUGGGUUCGAAUCCCGCCUGG
rnacentral:tRNA from 1 species